rnacentral:ncRNA from 19 species
UUUAAUCUUCAGGGCAGGGUGAAAUUCCCGAUCGGCGGUAAAGUCCGCGAGCCGAGCAAUCGGCAGGAUUUGGUGAAAUUCCAAAACCGACAGUAUAGUCUGGAUGAAAGAAGAGUCAA